GCAGUGUACCCGCGGCAAGACGGAAAGACCCCGUGAACCUUUACUAUAGCUUGACACUGAACAUUGAGCCUUGAUGUGUAGGAUAGGUGGGAGGCUUUGAAGCGUGGACGCCAGUCUGCGUGGAGCCGACCUUGAAAUACCACCCUUUAAUGUUUGAUGUUCUAACGUGGACCCGUUACCCGGGUUGCGGACAGUGUCUGGUGGGUAGUUUGACUGGGGCGGUCUCCUCCUAAAGAGUAACGGAGGAGCACGAAGGUUGGCUAAUCCUGGUCGGACAUCAGGAGGUUAGUGCAAUGGCAUAAGCCAGCUUGACUGCGAGCGUGACGGCGCGAGCAGGUGCGAAAGCAGGUCAUAGUGAUCCGGUGGUUCUGAAUGGAAGGGCCAUCGCUCAACGGAUAAAAGGUACUCCGGGGAUAACAGGCUGAUACCGCCCAAGAGUUCAUAUCGACGGCGGUGUUUGGCACCUCGAUGUCGGCUCAUCACAUCCUGGGGCUGAAGUAGGUCCCAAGGGUAUGGCUGUUCGCCAUUUAAAGUGGUACGCGAGCUGGGUUUAGAACGUCGUGAGACAGUUCGGUCCCUAUCUGCCGUGGGCGCUGGAGAACUGAGGGGGGCUGCUCCUAGUACGAGAGGACCGGAGUGGACGCAUCACUGGUGUUCGGGUUGUCAUGCCAAUGGCACUGCCCGGUAGCUAAAUGCGGAAGAGAUAAGUGCUGAAAGCAUCUAAGCACGAAACUUGCCCCGAGAUGAGUUCUCCCUGAGACUUUAGGUCUCCUGAAGGAACGUUGAAGACGACGACGUUGAUAGGCCGGGUGUGUAAGCGCAGCGAUGCGUUGAGCUAACCGGUACUAAUGAACCGUGAGGCUUAACCUUACAACGCCGAAG
rnacentral:rRNA from 2 species